rnacentral:ncRNA from 2 species
UACAGAGGGUGCAAGCGUUGUUCGGAAUUAUUGGGCGUAAAGCGCGUGUAGGCGGCAUGGUAAGUCGGGUGUGAAAGCCCUCAGCUCAACUGAGGAAGUGCGCCCGAAACUGCUGUGCUUGAGUGUCGGAGAGGGUCGCGGAAUUCCCCAAGUAGAGGUGAAAUUCGUAGAUAUGGGGAGGAACACCGGUGGCGAAGGCGGCGACCUGGACGAUAACUGACGCUGAGACGCGAAAGCGUGGGGAGCAAACAGG